GGGGACGAGUGCAUCACGGGCUUCCUGGGGCUGCAGCCCCCGGCGCAGUUCCUCAUUCCGCUCGCACUCGGGCCUCAGGCUGGGUGGAGCUGGGCAUCGGGGUGUUGGUGACAACGCUGAGGGGUCCCCACUGCCCCAUCAUGGUGUCUGCUCUCACUGCCCUCCUCCUCGGCUGCUGGCUGGCCGGGCAGAGCAGGGUGUGGGGAGGCCCUGGUCACGCCAGGGUGAUACCACAGGGUGAAAAUCUGUACCUGAAAGUAGCACCGUGGAGCCCCCGUAUUCACCACUACGAUAGAAUGAUGAUAGGUUGGGUACAAAGGUGCCUUGUGAGGCAUAAUUUUAAAAGCCUUGAUCUGUUGAGCAUUCAUAUCCUGUUGCAUUGUAUCUGCUAUCCUUGUAUGGGAAGUUCUGAAGCAUUGCUGUGUGUGCUAUUGAAAUAUGUCGUGAGGUUGGGAGAAGCCCACAGCCAACCUUUCAAUUGCAACAAGGGACCAGCCAGACACUGUUAAUGGCUCAUCAACACUCAUCAAGGAAAGAAUCCACUAUCCCAGAGACUGUGUACAAUGGAGAUUGCUUGACCAAUGGGGACUGCCUGAUCCCCAGGUCACAGUAAAGAUCUUUCAAGCAAAUUGGAAAAAAAUAUAAAAGAGGGGAAGGGACAUAAUCCCUGGGCUUCUCUUCCCCACAACUCAACACCUGGAGGAACAUCUGGAGGGCAAAGACUUUGAACCAGGGAAGGGUGGUUGCAGGCUGGGAUGGAGUCCAGUCUGUGUAUUGAGGAUCUGUCACCUGCUUGUACCAUCUGUCAGGGGGAGACACUGCCUGAUUCAAAUCCCUGUUCCAUUUGAGGAACUUAGACUGCAAAUAUAUUUUUAUUUCUUAAGUAGCCAACUCUGAUCUCUGUGCCUGCUUCUUAUAACCA